ACCAGAUUAGUCUUCAGGUCCGAUCUGCCAGGAAAUUCUCCCCUGUAAUCUGUGCAGGAGCUUAAUAAUGGGGCUUGCACAAGAGAACAUCCUGGUGGGUUGUGCCUCUUGCCUCACAGACCAUCGUACCUUUAGAUCAAAACAGCCUUCUGAGGCUGACAUUAUUUAGCUUUUGAUGUAAUCUUCAUUUGGGUUUUUAAAAUGUAACUCUAAAAAGCAAUAUGCUAUCUAACAAUUGGCGCUGUGCUGUGUGUUACAAUUGUUGUAGGAUACAUCUUUAAACACCUGUGUAUGCAUGUCAGGUUUCCCAGAUGUGUGUACUGGAGUGUUUAAACAUGUGCUCACAUGCAUGUUUGUUCUUUUUUUUUUGGCAUCGUAUGCAUUUUGUGCUGAAAAUGCCUGUGUAACACCAGUAUUUCAUGCAACAGUUGCAUUGUGUAGCACUGCCACCAAUACCUGGAGAUACUACUUGAAUAUUUAAGGGGAUGUCUGUGAGACUUCUAGUAACCUGUGGAGUUGCAUCUAUUCUUCACAUGCCCUUCGUAGAGGAACAUUCAGAUUUGUCAAAAGCCUUGUUGAAGCAAGUACAUGUGAUUGUUUUUUAAAAAUAAUUAUAAAGAGCAAAUUAAGAGGUGAGAUGACUUUAAAAGCAGACUCCGUGUAGGAUGUGCUUUGUAACCCUGGUAUACUCCAAAAGCUUGUAUGGGGAGAAAAAUUAAAAGACAAUUAUAGUUUUGUGUUGCACCAUGGGAGUUAAAGAAAAGUUUGAAGGAACAAGUAGACAUAUAUGUGGAUUUUUCUGUUUAUUCACAUUCUUAGUGGCAGUGAUAGGUUAACCUGGUCUAUUUCAGACACCUUGGACCUGUUCACAUAUUUCUCCUGUCCAAGAAAUACAUUUUUUUAUCAGGUGGUCAGAGAGUACCAAGUUAAAUGUUGUAAAGGCCAUGUUACCCCUUGCUUUCUCCUCGUGGGGGAGGAGAGCCAAGAGCCAGGACCUGCAACAGGUUAAGAUUUCUCCCUGGCAAGUAGCAACUGAACAUAAUAUAAUUCAGAUAAAAUUUGUUCUGCAUUAUAAAUUUAGUUUCCCAAAGCCGGCACAAAAUUGGUUUUAACAACAUUUAUCGCGCAUGCAUUGAUAAUGAUAUUUGAAGAGUUUCAAGCUUAAAUUGAGAGGCUUGUGGAUGCUAGAAUUAUUUGGUUUGAUUGCAGAAAGCUUCAACAUUAUAACGUUGUUUAUAUGCACAGAUCUAAUUACAAUACCUGUAAAGACGUCCUUAAAAUAACUACUUAAAGCAUGGUCCCCAGAGAAAGCCAAGAAAGUUUCCGGUCCAUUUCCUUUUUUUGAAAUUCAGAUCAUUCAUUUAGAAAACGAAAGCAGCAUUUUUUCGUUCACUUAAAGUUUGGUUAAUGGGCAUCAAUAAGAAAUGACGAAUUCUCAGGAAACAUAAUAAAACUACUUGCCAAAAUAAUGAUAAUAAUAAUAAACACCCAUCCAACCCCAACCCCUUCCAUAAGUAAAUCUUGACUAAAAGAGAUGAUGCUAAUUAAUAAUGUUUAAUAAUGUUAGUUAUUGGCUAAUAUUUAAUCUCCCCCCCCCUUUUUUGCAAAUGUAACUCCUUGUCCUCAAAUGACACUAAAUUAUUUAUAGUAUUAAAUGUACACCUUUCUAUAUUGUGUGGCUAUGCAGUCUGUGAGUGUAUCAGUAAAAGUGACUUUGGGAUCUCGGUAUCCAUAGCUUCCCAUGACGAUUGGUUUGUUCACCAUGGCACUGACCUUGAUUCUGUUUGGGGCUGCUAGGGCUUGGACCUCCUGGAAGGACAACAUUCCCCUUUCACUUAAACGUUAAGGCAGUCCACAACAACAAAGGUUAUAUGUGGAGUCUGGCAUUUUGCAUUGAAUUGAAUGAGGAAGCCCUUGCAUUCCAGGGAGCACAUCUGUAUGUACAAGAAGCUCUGCGUGGAGCUGAAGUUGCUUCCCUCCCCCCCAAAAAACCCCAUUCAUUGGAUUAAAUAAAUUGACGUGUCCAUUAUAUUUUUAACACAGCUUGGAAUAUGUUAACAUAGAUAAAUGGGGAAGAUACGUAAUAAUCACGAAUGAUUCGUGAGCUAAAACCCUUAAUUUUAUCUUUUUUCUUCUUCAAAUGACCAGAUUUUAAAUGCCAAUACAUGCAUUGUGGCUGAUCAUAUUCAUAGAUGCUACCAGAAACUUUUAGGCCAAAAACAGUGUGCAGAGCAAUGCUAACGUAACAAAAACUCCUGUAUAUGUUACAAAAAAGAAAAAAAAGAGGCAGCCAUCUGACAAUUUUCAGUAACUUGGCUUCUUUUUACUGUAGCGUGUUUAUAAUUGGAAUGGUGAAGGAAAAGGAGGAAAGGGAAGGGGAGAAAAAAAACAUUUAAAAGGAUGCUGCCUCUUGCUUUGACACGGUUUUGUGUCUAAGGGCUCUAAUUAGUUGGGGCUGAUAGUUGUUGGCUUGGAAACAUUGCUUAGCCUCACAUGUUGCCAUUGUCUGGGGACAUCUGAGCUCCUUUGCAAAAGUAGAAAUAGCACGGUGUUGUCUUGUGUUUGGCUGCAGUCUCAUUUCGGCCGGCUCUUGCGCCGCUGGAGUGCUGGCCGAUCCCUUCUCCAGUGUGUCGAUGCAACCGGGAGGAUGAGCUGGGGGAGCGAGAGGAGUGCAAGAUAUGUAGAGGGUUGAAAUUGUGCCCUUGAUGUUAACAAUGUGCCUUUUGUUACGAACAACACCAUGUUGUGGAGCAUGCAACGUUGUCUAUUUAACCCUUUGAACGCUGUACUAUGUAGUAAGGUUGAAAUCUUAUUUUUUUUAAAAGCACGGUACCUGUCUUAAAUACGUUUCCAUGAGCACAAUCCACUAGGAGCCUCUCCCGCCGUUGCAUACGCCCCGGUGAAAUGAAGGGCAGUUCUGCAAGAGCACUCCAGGGUCCUUUUUGGGGCGACCCUCGGUUAUAUCCAUUGGACAUGAGCAGGAGAAGUUUCUGGCUGAUUUUGCCCUGUGUUUUCAAAGCCUUAAUAUAGAUCAUAAGGCAAUCCUACUACUUAGUGAUGGAACAGAAUACUCUCUUGUAGGAAUUUUCAUGCUCUUUCAAGGGUUAAAGAUGGCACCUCGUAGUAGUUAGCGGUAACCUUAACAUCAGACUGGUUUCUUUUCUUUUAAGAACUAUGUUUUUCUUUGUUUUGUUAUGACAGCACUAGGCAGAAUCAACUGUAUUUGUAAAAAGGAAAAAAAAUUACCUCAAACUGUUUCAUUUUAUAGUGAGAAUUAAUCCCAGGGCAUUUGGUAUGAACCAAAGUGCAUUCCUUUUCUACGUGCCUGGCUCCAAUAAACGUGGCCAGGGGUUUUUACAAUUUGGGUGCAAGGCAUUUUAAUGCCCAUUUUACCUUGCUGGGUGGUUUGGGGUCAUGAAGGACUCCUUAGGAAUGUUUUUUUCUUUUUUAAAUGGCGCUUCAUGGCUACCAUCAGGCAGCCUCCAUUUAUUAGAAUGGGACUUGUGUGAAACCGUGUGGAAGUGCCAUUGAAAUGAAUGGAGGCUGGACAGCAACAAUUGUGGGAGGGUUGUGUUUAUUAAAGUAGCAACGGGCUGCGUUAUAAUCUUUAGGCACAUGUCGGAGUUCUUCGAUUCUGUCUAUUUUUCAUAAAAAUCUUUGGUUUUCCAAACAGAGGUAGCUGGUAAACAUAAAUCCGUUUUAAGAAAGAUUUUUAUGUAAGUAAAUAUUUUUGCAUUGCCCACUUGAGAUGCUACAGUAGCAUUGAAAUAAAGAAAGCAUUUGUGAAAUAACAUUGUUUCUAGGGGGCUUGUACAUCUGUGCUACAAAAUACAAAGUAAUAUGAAAAAAGUCAUCGUAUUUACUCAGCUCCACUGCUACAAUUACGUCUAAGGUGUACAUUGGAUUUCUUUUUCUUGAAAAAUAAAGAGCAACAACUUAGACACGUGACUGUAAUAUGCUGCAACUGUGUGUACUGAAAACAUGUGAAAAAAAAUGACUGAAUGUGGAUUGUGUAUAUAUGUAUGUAAAAAUUUAUGUGAGAUGCUGCUGCUGUCAACAGCCACUUCACAUUAAAUAUGUUGUAGUGGGUUUUAAUUCUAGUGGCCAGUUUUAUAAUACUUACGUAUUGUAUAGCUGAUGACAGGAGUUAAGACUGUUUUAGUGAAUGUUUGUUACAUUUAUUGUUGUGGCCAGAGAUCAUUUCAGAAUAAAAAAUUAUGUCCUA